rnacentral:lncRNA from 1 species
GUUAGUUCCAGAUGAACCCCCCCCCCAUUGUUCCUGUUAUUAUUAUUUUUUAUCUUUAUUUUACAUCUUGUUAUGGUUUAUGUGGAAAUUGUUUCAGUUUGGUUUUGUACUCUUUGAUGUUUUAUUUAUUGCUUAUGACUACUUUCGUUAUGUUUGCAAUUAUGUUUUUUUAAAUGCUGUAAUCCACUUUGGGCAUGGUUUUAUCUAUGGAAGGGUGGCAUACAAAUAAAAUGAUGCUAGGGUGGAGUGGGCAGGAGAUAUAUCCUAUAAGGAUCCGCUAGCUGAUCACUGGGUGGUUUGCAGUAUGAACCUACCCAGGCCCUGAGAUCAUCCUCAGAAGUCCUUUUUCAUUGAGUGGUCUGGAGGAUGGCAACAUGAGAAUAGGCCUUUUCUGCAGUGGCUCCCCAUUUGUGGAAUGCUCUCCCUAGGGAGGUUUGCCUGGCGCCUUCAUUAUGCACCUUUAGCUGCCAGGUGAAAACAUUUCCCUUCAACCAGGCCUUUGGCUGGGUGACAUCCAAUGCCCUUUUAAACAUGUUUUGGGAGGGGGGAUUAUUGGUUAGUUUUUGUUUUUAUUUUUAUGUGUUUUGUGGGUUUUAUCUUGCAUUUUUAUGUUAUGAACUGCCCUGCGAUCUACAGAUGAAGGGUGGUGUACAAAUUUAAUAAAUAAUAAUACUAGAUUGGUAAGUGUUUCUGAUGACCAGUUGAUUAAAAAUAGAAGUGGCGAGAUGACUUCCCCACAUAAAUUAGGCUGCUGAAAGGAAGAAAGUUAUGGUAACUAGGAGUGCUCUUUUGUGUGAAAGGACUAUGAGCUCCAUACUAUUCUUGGGCAGGAAAUAAAUUUCUAGGCUCAGAGUUUGCUCAGAGGCACCCUUUUAUUUUAUUUUUUAAUGUUUGUGUGUGUGACUUUGGAACCAGGCUCUGGUUGGUGGAUCUGGUGUUCUAGAAAAAGAACAAAAAAACUAGAUCUUAUAAGCCUGAAGUCUGCCCAUCUCUCUGCACACCAAGUUUUCACAAGGCACAAGCCAAGCCUUUUGCUUCACAGUGAGCUGAGAGUGCAUCUUGUUACACACACAACAUGUCUCUGCAGCUGCACAGUUUGUGAAGAAUUCUUAGCAGCCCAGUGUAGUGGUUAAGAGUGUUGAAGUCGGAUCAAGGAGGCCCGGGUUCAGAUUUCUGCACAUGGAGCGACCUUGGCCCAGUCACUACCCUACUGGCUUGUUGGGAGGAUUAAAUCGGGAGAGGGAAGACUACGUGCCUUCCUGAGCUUGGAGGAAGAAAUGAAAAGGCAAUAAAGAAAUAACACAUUGGUGGAUGACCUGCCUUUCUGAGAAGCCGGUUCCCCUCUCCUAGUUCCUAAUCUUUUGCGAUAAUGAUGAUGCACACCCUGCCCUGCCCUGCCCUCCCUCAAACUUUCUGGCAUUUCAAGCCAGUUGGAGCCAGGCUGAUCUGCCCAUUCUGAUAUUCUUCUAGGGAGGGUCCUUUAUCUCCUAGCGGGUGACUGUGACCAGAACCUCCUUUCUUCUCUCUUCUACAACCCACAAGGCAAUCUCCAGAGGUCUUGAUGAGUUCCCAGUAGCUGAGGGUCUCCUGCCUGAUGUCUGGGGCUUGUUUGCUUUUCCCAUUAUUAGUGUUCUUUCUUAAAGGAUAAGGAAAUUCUUGAGUAGCUUCCAAAGAACACUUUUGCCUAGGAUGCAAUGGUUUUGACCUGAUCUCAGAUUCCAGGCAAGCUUGGAGCAGAGUUGGCUCUCCUGAUGGUGCUGAACUCUAACUCCCAUCAACCCCAGCCAGCAUGGCCAGAGGUCAGAGAUGAUGGGAGUCCAACAACAUCUGGGGGGGAGGCCUACAGGUCCCCCACCCCUGGACUUAGAGCCUUGGAGCACAGAUUUGUUUUAUCAAAAGAAUGUAAUCCUGCUCCCAAAUGUGCUUGUGCCAUCUUUUCAACCUCAGUGUGAAUCAGGAGAAUAAUGACUUGGCACUAACAGAGCCUAGACCAGAACCAGUCGCACAAUGCUCUUGGUGCAGUGCAUGGAUUAAAGCAUAUGAGGCCUUGCCACAGGAUUCAUUGUUAGCCACUAGAGUAGUUGAUCUUAUAAAAUUUCUAUCUUGCCUAAUGUUAUUUUGAAAGCAACAGCUGUUAGGCAACAUGCAAUGAAAAGGUUCACAAUAAAGCUCAUGAAAACAAUCAACAUACAAAUUAUUAUUAUUAUUAGCGCCAUCUACAUACAUAGUGUUUUACUCAGUACAGUGUGACAGGUCCUUAUUCCAACAUGUUAUCAUUUUAACUCAUUUUUAGUUUUACUGUUUUGGGUCGCCUGUACACCGCAUAGAGAUGAGAGUGGUUAAGCAGUAUAGAAAUUGUUGGGGGGGGGGGGAAUUAAACAGGCCUGCAACCCGAAUGAUGGUAUUUAUAAUUUGCAUCACUUUCCCCAAACCUGGUGUCCUCCAGAUGUUUUGAAUACAACCACCCAUCAUUCCAGGCCAUUGCUCAUGCUGCCUGUGGUUGAUGUCCAAGACUUCUGGAGGAGACCAGGUUGCGAAGGCUAAUAUACGCUACCCAAAACCAGCAAAGGCAGUGAAAAGUUUGCUUAAUCAACACCGUGCAGCAUUAUUUGUUACACUGUGUGGAUAAUGCUAUGUGGGUGUGUACUGUGUUUACUGUGUAUCUGCAUUCAGAUUCUGUGUUCCAUUCCUCCUGGGUAAAUCUGAAGUUUUUCAAGCAUGUGCCCUGGAUUGACACCACAGCUUCUUCUAGGCUCAUAUAGGUCAUUGCAGUGAUAAAAUGGUUUAUCUAGACUAUUUUAGUUAAGUGGUGUAUACAUUGGUUAAAUAACUGGGCCAGACUAGAUUGCAAGCAGCUUUUGUGGUCUUGUCAACUACACCUCAGAUUACAAUUUUGCACAUUUGGAAGGGGCUGCACCACCUUGGAAUAGUUCCAGAAGUGCUUCACACACUUGAGGAAGCGUAUUACUUAGAAUGAGUAUUAUCCAGCAAAAUAGUGCCUACUACACUUGACACAUAUAAGGGGGAGGCGCCUAGUGCAAUAGUGGUGCUCAUGCUUCUUGAAUGGGGGGAGGUGUUCGUGAUGGUCAGCUUCGCUGUAAAUAGUGUGUGCUUCUUUAUGCCAGGAAUGAGUAACUUGUGGCCUUCAGAUGUUGCAGAACUACAGCAUCCACCAUCCCUGAUCAUUUGACCGUGUUGGGUGGGGCUGAGGGGAGUUGGAGUCCAACAACAUGUGAGGGGCACAGGUUCCCCAUCCCUGCCUUACGCUUCUCCUUCUGUCUUCUCCUUUUUUACAUUAUGUAUCCCAUGGUGGAGGAAAUACCCUCCCAUGUGGAGCUGGCUGGCUUUGGACGUGCAUACUCCAAAAUGGGGAGUAUAAGGUCAGACUGUGGACCUUGCUAUGGCGCUAAUUGCCACUUUGCAGAGUGUACACAGAAUGCUUUAUGUGUACACUUUAUAAUGUGAAGUUGGAAUGUCACAAACAUGCAUUGUACACACACUGAGCCUCUUGGGCUUGCCAAUCGGAAGGUCGGCAGUUCGAAUCCCUGCAACGGAGGGAGCUCCUGUUGCUCUGUUCCAGCUUCUGCCUACCUAGCAGUUCAAAAGCACGCCAGUGAAGUAGGUAAAUAGGUACCGCUGCUGUGGAAAGGUAAAUGAUGUUUCUGUGUGCUCUGGUUUCCGUCUCGGUGUUCCGUUGCGCCAGAAGCGAUUUAAUCAUGUUGGCCACAUGACCCGGAAAACUGUCUGUGGACAAACGCCAGCUCCCUCGGCCUGAAAGUGAGAUGAGCAACGCAACCCCAUAGUCGCCUUUGACUGGACUUAACCAUCCAGGGGUCCUUUACCUAUUUUUAACACACAUCAGCAGUUACAAAGCUGGGUUUGCUUCCAUAAGGACAUGAGAAAGGACCUACUGGACCAGAAUAAAGGCCCACUGUUCUCACAGUGGCCAACCAGGUGCCCCUAUGAGAAACCUAUAAGUAAGACCCAUACAUGUACAACAGAUCUAAUAUUUGUACCAAUUUAGUAGCAUCAGUAGGUGAUGGCUGGCAUAGUUUUAUAGAACCUCUUUUUCUAAGCUGGCCUGUGAUUCUGUUUUCCCAGCUUCCAUCGCCUGUUUGGAAUGGAAGCUCUGGAGGAAUUUUGGGGCAAAGGGGAGCUGGCAUUUUCUCAUCAGGGUGGUUGCACACUUCCGGAAUUGUCUGCAUGUAUUCUGUUCAGACACAGUGGCUUCCCAGUAGCUCUCCAGAAUAUGAUACAUUGCCAUGGAAUUUGGCCUCCCACUUAUCUCAGGUUUUGUUGUCUUUCCUUAAGAAAGCAGGUUUUAAAUCCUUCAUGGCUGCAAAGAAAAACUUUUAACGGACCUGGACAGAACUUUUGCUGAUUGAGAAGGCUGAGGCUUCAGUACCCCUGCUGCAUAGUUUUCCUGCCUUCUUUUGCUACUGUCUCCUGACCCUACUACAUUCAAACACAUCCCAAAUUCUAAAUUCUACGUUCCCUAUCUUUCUGUGGCCACGUUCCUUGCUCUAAACUGAAAUAGUUCUGUUUAUCUGAAAACCUGAACCUUCAAAGUGGAUUGCAUAGUGCAAAAUAAGCCAAUUUGUCGACGCUGAUUUACAGUGCAGAGAGAGAGGAAUUUUGAGAUUUCUCAGAAUAGAAUGUGGGUGGGGCUUUCUCAUAGGGAGGAAUGCCAUUGGCCUGUGCCUAACCCAUCAGAAAACUUCUGCCUUUUGCCUGUUUAAACAGCAAGAGGUUGCAGCUUUGGACAACAUAAAUAUCCAACUGGUUUCGCAUUCUCUCUAGGUGACCAGCCUUCCGAGUGCACAAUGGAAGGAAUAUAAGUCUGUGCUGCAUGUGAAAUGUCGUUGUGCGCGCACACGCACGCACAGGACCCUAGACACAUUUAUAAUACAGACACCUUUACCCCCAAUUACCUUUGCAGGUUGCAAGCUGUUUCGGGAGUCCUUGAAAGGGUAGGGUGGCGUGCAUUUUGAAUUGCCGUGCAGAGAGCUGACUCCCCGGCGGUUUUCCUUGGCAGCAGUGCUGCAAGGGUUAAUUGAGAGUUUGCUGUUCCUGCAGACAAUUAGUGACAUCUUGCUGACAAGGCCACACUGAGCUGCUUUCUAGCCAUCCCCACCCCUUCCCUGCGAUUUCAGCUGUUUAUUCAGGGACUUAACAAUUGGAAUUCUGACUGGAGGAGCUGGCUCCCCUCUUUGGCCUUUGACCUCUGGUUGCUGUGGAAACUGUAUCCCAUGUAGGACUCUGAUGUCAGGAUUGCUCAGUCUGAAUUCACAAUCUCGAAACUCCCUUAAAAGACAGUUUUCAGAUGGCUUCUCUUGUGCCGACGGCCCUCCUUUUGCAUCCCACCCACUUUCCCUCCCUGCAGAAGCAAGAGCCCACUUCCUUGCUAAUAAGUCCCUUGCCUUGUUCCGAACCACCAUCGGUUUCUGCUCCAAAAACAUUCCUUAAAAUGCGGCAGUUUUAUGCUGAAAUGAAGCCCCGAGCAAGAGUCCAGGGCAUGCCUUAGCUGAGGGGGAGAGGAGGUUUGCGCAGUGAUUGAGCAAGAUGAUUAGGAUGUCUGGUUUGGGCUGUGGUUUCCUUGUAUGGUGGAACACUUUUAGCAACAGCUGAGUGUCAGGUUCUGUGUUGGCAGCUCUGCCAGGUCUGAUUCUGAUUAUGCCAAGCUGCUCACAUCCAGGUUGGCCUUUCCAGAAAACAGCACCAAGCACAAUGAGUGUGGGGAGGGUACCUUUUCUGCUUCCAUUCACCUGUGUCUAAUUUUCUUUCUUCAAGGCGGAAUUCUAGGCAAGACUCCGUUCCAAGUGACAUUCAGUCUGGCCAUGCCAUAGAGAUGUUUAAAAGAAGGCUUGGGGCCUUUUUAUUUGGCCAGGUUUGGGGGCUCUGAGGUCAGUUAUUUUCUGGGUGUGGUUUUAUUGGCAUUGUCGCUGCUAUUUUUAUUGUAGUUUUACUGCAGGUUUUAAAAAAUCCACUUUGGGUUGCUUCCAGGCCUUUUUAGACAUAUUCAUCUUGAUCUGCUUGCACAAACUUUGUUGGGAGGUUAGACAUUGUUUGCUAUAUAUGUGAAUGGAACCUGAACCUCUGGAAUAGUUCAGUCAGUAGAGCAUGAGAUUCUUAAUCUCAGGGUUGUGGGUUUGAGCUCCACGUUAGGCAAAAGAUUCCUGCGCUGCAGGGUGUUGGACUAGAUAACCUGGUGGUCUCUUCUAACUCUACAAUUCUGUGAUUCUGAUUGUUUGCAGGGCGCUUACAUGGUAUUUCACCAAGCAAUUGCUACUCCACACUUUAAAAUGCAUUUCCCCAUCACUUUGCACAAAGUCCUAUGUGGGGGGAGAACAGGGUUGUUUCGUAAGAGCACCAAACCAACUUUAAUUACACAGCAAGAAUUUGCAGGUAUAUGAUUGAAUCCCACCCAAGAGUAGCAUUCUUAAACUUUUUAAAAAUUUGCAUGGCUGUUUUAUCUGUUUUGGUUCUCGUAUAUCCUGCACUCCAAAUUGGAAGAGGGUUGAGAUAGGAAGCCUUUGUUUAAACAGAAUUAUGGAAAUCUUCAAAUAUCUGAAGGACUGUCACAUGGAUGAUGGAGCAAGCUUAUUUUCUGCUGCUCCAUCCAGAGGGUAGGAUCUGAACUAGUGGAUUCAAAUUACAGUAUAAGAAAGCAGAGUCCAACUAAUCAUUAGGAAUAACUUUAUAAUGGUUAGAGCAGUUCAAAAAUGAGACAGAUUACCAUGGAAGGUGGUGGGCUCUCCUUCCUUGGAAGCUUUAAAACAAGAAGUUGGGUGGCUUUCUGUCAGGGACUAUUUAGCUGUGAUUCCUGCAUUGCAGGGGAUUGAACUAGAUGACCCUCAGGGUCCCUUCCAGCUCUACAGUUUUGUGAUAUAAACUUAUAAUAUGCUCCUACUAACAUUGCUGGGGAGUGGGUGAAAGUGCUCACAUGUGUUCAGUGUAAAAGUAAUUGCCAUCAUGGCCUCUUGGCAAAAGGAAGAACUCUCUACUCUUUAUGAAAUUCAGCACUUCAGAUAACGAACAGUCUACACUGAGUUUGGUGUUUGAUGCUCAAUUUAUUUAUGGUUAUGCUUAUAUCCCACAUUUUUUCCUAGGAGCUCAAGGUGGCAUGCAUGGUUCUCCCUGCCUUUAAUUGUCCUCACAACAACAACCCUGUGAGGUGGUUUAGGCUGAGAAAUGGUGACUGGCCCAGGGUCACUCAGUGAGUGGCUGAGUGGAGAUUUGAUCCUUAGCCUCCCAGGUCCUAGUCCAAGACUCCUUUUUUUUUUUAAUAAGAUAUUUAUUAAGGUUUUUUGAAAUAUUACAG